UGGGGAAUUUUGGACAAUGGGCGCAAGCCUGAUCCAGCCAUGCCGCGUGCGGGAAGAAGGCCUUCGGGUUGUAAACCGCUUUUGUCAGGGAAGAAAUCUUCUGAGUUAAUACCUCGGGAGGAUGACGGUACCUGAAGAAUAAGCACCGGCUAACUACGUGCCAGCAGCCGCGGUAAUACGUAGGGUGCAAGCGUUAAUCGGAAUUACUGGGCGUAAAGCGUGCGCAGGCGGUUUUGUAAGACAGAGGUGAAAUCCCCGGGCUCAACCUGGGAACUGCCUUUGUGACUGCAAGGCUUGAGUGUGGCAGAGGGGGAUGGAAUUCCGCGUGUAGCAGUGAAAUGCGUAGAUAUGCGGAGGGAACACCGAUGGCGAAGGCAAUCCCCUGGGCCUGCACUGGCGCUCAUGCACG
rnacentral:rRNA from 1 species